GCAGCAGUAGGGAAUUUUCGGCAAUGGGCGCAAGCCUGACCGAGCAACGCCGCGUGAGUGAUUAAGGCCUUCGGGUUGUAAAGCUCUGUUGUAAGGGAAGAAAAAUCAGUAGAGGAAAUGAUACUGAUCUGACGGUACCUUACCAGAAAGCCACGGCUAACUACGUGCCAGCAGCCGCGGUAAUACGUAGGUGGCAAGCGUUAUCCGGAAUUAUUGGGCGUAAAGGGUGCGUAGGCGGUUUAUUAAGUCUAUGGUGAAAGUGCGGGGCUCAACCCCGUAUGGCCAUAGAAACUGAUAGACUAGAGUGCAGGAGAGGGCAAUGGAAUUCCAUGUGUAGCGGUAAAAUGCGUAGAUAUAUGGAGGAACACCAGUGGCGAAGGCGGUUGCCUGGCCUGUAACUGACGCUGAAGCACGAAAGCGUGGGGAGCAAAUAGGAUUAGAUACCCUAGUAGUCCACGCCGUAAACGAUGAAUACUAAGUGUUGGAGAAAUUCAGUGCUGCAGUUAACGCAAUAAGUAUUCCGCCUGGGGAGUAUGCACGCAAGUGUGAAACUCAAAGGAAUUGACGGGACCCCGCACAAGCGGUGGAUUAUGUUGUUUAAUUCGACGCAACGCGAAGAACCUUACCAGGCCUUGACAUACUCAGCAAAACCCUAGAGAUAGGGUGGAGGUUAUCUGGGAUACAGGUGGUGCAUGGUUGUCGUCAGCUCGUGUCGUGAGAUGUUGGGUUAAGUCCCGCAACGAGCGCAACCCUUGUCUUUAGUUACCAUCAUUCAGUUGGGGACUCUAGAGAGACUGCCGGUGAUAAACCGGAGGAAGGUGGGGAUGACGUCAAAUCAUCAUGCCCCUUAUGGCCUGGGCUACAAACGUAAUACAAUGGCGUAUACAAAGGGAUGCGAAAGGGUGACCUGGAGCAAAACUCACAAAGUACGUCUCAGUUCAGAUUGGAGUCUGCAACUCGACUCCAUGAAGGCGGAAUCGCUAGUAAUCGCGGAUCAGCAUGCCGCGGUGAAUACGUUCUCGGG
rnacentral:rRNA from 1 species